GUUGGAGGGAGAGAAAAAUACAUCAAUGAAUGGCAACCCUGCAACUUACUGAUUGCCCGAGAAGGGGCAGUGUCUUGGCUGGACACACCAAUUUUAUUUGGUUGAGACCAACACCCUGGAACUGGGCUAUCCCUCUAUAAAAAUACUAGUGGCCCUAGCAAGAGACGAGUCUCUUACUGGGGGCAGGGGCAGUCAGACAAGAACUUUGUGAGGAAGAGGCGGUCACAGUGUGAUCCUUUGAGGAUAAAUUGUCUGAGGGAGUAACUCUCAGUGCCCACAUUUGCUUCCGGGAUGGAGCUUCACAUAAUGAUACCCAAGAAUAUCAUAUGGAAUUGGAAGACGGCUACUCUGUCUUCCAAGAUCAGAAUUGCAUGUUGCAGACACUGUCGAAGAUGCCAAAGAAGAAAGAGGGUCCACCCUGUCAAAGUGAUGGAUAUGACUGAUACUCAGAGUUCUCUGGACUCUUGAGAAUGGAGACUGCCUGCUUCAUGGAGUGUGAAAUAAAAUUUCCUUAGAUCAAUGAAAUGCAGAUCAACUGAACUGUUCUCUUUGGUUAUCUUAACAGACUUAAACAUGUCAUUUUGGGGGGACACAGUUCAACCCAUAAGACGUAGAGCAUCAGCCAUCCUAAUCCAUAUGCUUUAAAAUUUCAUAGAGUUUCUCAGAUUUUAUUAUGUCACCCAUCACUUUUAAUUUUUGACCUUUUACAUUUUAUCUUUUAUUGAAUUAUUAUGACUGUUUUACUAAAAGAUUGGAAGAGCUAUUCUGGAGUUGGUAUCCAGAUGCCAUUUUGAACCAUAUUAUUAUUCUUUUCUCUUGAGUGUUAUCUUGCAUGGUGAUUUGGUACUUUCUUUUAAUAUUUUUAGGAGACUAUUUCAAGGAAAAAUGGGAAUCAGAUAAGUUAAAAGAUGAGCAAUGAGUUGAUGAGGUGCAUUUGUACUGUGUCACUGUGAAAGCUCACAUCGCUCUAAUAAAUCCUUUAUUCCACAUAUCUCUUAGUGGUUUUGCUUCUCUGAUCAAACCCUGACUGAUGUAGUUAAAAGAGGGAGCAGCAGUUCAAGCUCUGAAAAACAGCUGGGAUUUUUUUUUGGUUCCAACCCAUCAAAAAGGGAAUCAUGCCCAAUUUUGAAAGACAAUUUGAUUUAUCCCAGAAAAUAGAUAAAGCAUCAGAAUUGAUGUGAUCCAAGGCUGUGUUUCAGCCAGCUUUUGCUGGAUAGUUGCUCCUUUCCUGUAUUUGACCUAAUAAAAUCAGAGAUUUUCUUCAAGUAAGCCAUUUGUCAUUGCCUAUAAAUCUGUUCUAUGUCUGUUGCAGAUACCAUGUAACAAAAUAAUGAUUAAUAAAAAUAUUAAUGCACGUCAGCUGUCUUUCACAUAACCUACAGAUACUAAUGUAUGAACAUGUGUGCAUGUUUUUUGUUCAAAGACGUGUCCAGUAAGCAGUAAAAUGUAGUUUUAAACAAUAGCAGUCUUCAAAUACCAACAACGAAAAACCCGGAAAAAUAUGACUGGUAACAGGCAUUCGUUCUGAACAAUGAAAUGUGACUAAUAGCUCUCUAGAGAACAAAUGCCCAACAGUGGUUAU
ensembl:lncRNA